AGCAUUAAGCACUGAAUGAAGAACACAAGUCUGCUAAACUGAAGCAAAAGAGUCUUCUGAGUUCUUCUACAGUCCAGUAAUGGGAGAAUGUAGUGACAACUGCAAGUAAACAGAAGCAGAUGAAGAGACUAUGAGAACGUCAGAUGGUGAACAACCACACCUGGUUCUUUCGCAUUACACACCACUAAUGUGUUAGGAAUUAAUUUGAGCCUGUUAAGCUGGGUCAUGCAAGCAGACGUGUGGGAGAUCAUUUGGGAAGUGGUGGGAUUCUGGCAGGCUCUGGACCAGUACUUGGCUCAGGACCAGCCUACAGUAUGUAAAUAAAAAAAAAAAACUCCAACUCCCACACCUCGGUACAAGCACUUGUAAGUGCAACAAACACAAUGUACCACAGGAUUUUGCCUUUUUAAGUGAGAAUUAAUCUCACUUAGAGCCGUGAGUGGCCCAGAUUGGUCUCUAGGCACUCCAGACAAUGUUUUGUCAAGUCUCAUUUCCUAAAAGCAUUUCCCCUUUAACUACUAAUUUCCAUUCACAGCUCGAAAGCCCUCUGCCUCCCCUCAAGUGAGAGUUCAGCACAGGAAAUGGCAUUUUAAAUAAGGCAGCUGCUUCAUUUGAGUAACACUGAGGCCAGCAUCUCUGUGGAUACUCACUGUCAAGACACUGUUCACACUCGGUCUGUGUCGCUCCA